UCCGUAACCUGGCAACAGCCAAUAAGAGGAAAGGGUUACGACUGCACUUUCUGGCGCUCGACAAUGCUAUCUCGUUGAAGACCCAAUUGGCGUCUGCUAAAAUGAAAACUAUCUGAGCGUUGAGUGAAGGGCUGAAGGCUGCAAGAGGGCAACGACACGCCGUGUGUUUCGGCUUGUUUCGACGGAUUGUUAUAACCAGGUUUUUUAAAAAAUUGUAAUUGAAAAAAGUUAAGAAAUCAGUCCUGAGUUUAAUAAUUCAUUCAGUUGUGCAUAUGUACCUCAACGGAAAGCCAUACGCUUUUUAAAAAAAGAACAACACAAUUUGAAGGAAAGAUGAAACAUGGAGUCAUUUCAUGGUAUGAGGGUCCUGGCUCUACGUUCCUUAUUAGCUGGAUGAAAGCUAUUUCUUGUUUUGUUCAAAAUGGAAUGUAGUUUCUUCUUGUUCGCCAAUAUUGGUUUGAGAAAUUUUUUUAAUAUGAUCAUAAUUAAAUCUUUGUUGUUUUCACCAGGUCUUGCCACUUCACAUACAAAAGUGCUGUAUGUCUCAAUGUGGGAAAGAAGGAAUCCAAACAGUCCCUUCAGCAAGAAAGUCGACUUUGAAAUCUGUGAAAGAAUUUCCUUUACAAAAAAGUACACUGUCCAGAGCCGGGAAACAUACUCAUCUGUUGGGUACAAAAGUUCACCAGGGUCUAGAACAAACAGUUACAGUAGGUAGUAGGAGUUAGACAUUAUUACAAUUUUGUUAUUGAUAGAUUACCUAGGCGAUAAAUCAACUGCAUCAGUGAGUCAAAACUUUUUGUCCUCUGGAAUCUAGCGAUACAGUCAACGCAAAAUUUCUGCUCCACCAGAACGCGUAUAGUGUAUCCAGCUAGAAAGGCCGCAGUGCUUGAUUGUGAUGAUGGCUGUAACUUUUCUGUAAAAAAAAAAUUAUUCUUUGGACAAGAAACAGCGUUUUUUCCAUCAGAUGCUGUACAUGAAGGUUUUUUUAAUUGCUCGAGUAUCCGAAAAAAUAAAGCUGAUUCGCGUGACAAGAUUGUAUUGCCGUAAAUGGAUUUGUAGGCUAUGCCUGUACGAAGGAUCUUCUCAAAUGCCUGUGAAACUGCCGUUGCGUACCCCUUAAAGUUUCCUCCAAUCAUCUGGUGAAUGGCACCAAUCAACUGCUCUACAGGAUCACUGGAGAAUCUCCUUAACCCCAUUCUACAACGAGACCAGCUUCGUCGUCCUGUGGCCAAUUGGAUAUAUCUACCCAGUCAUCAUGUCGUUCAACGCGCUGGCGUUGCUGAAUCAAAGCUGUUCGUCUACUCGAUGAGUUUGCAGCGAUUACAAUCGACACUUUCGUUGUUGGGGCAGUAGUUAGAGUCGGCAGAAUCUUUGCUGGAGUUGCUGGAUUAGUCCCUAAAUUUAUGAAGGAGGUAGUCGCAAUGGAAAUCAGUGGAUUUAUGGGUGGGAUUAGAUUAUUCCUGAAACCAUCGUUUGAAUCAUCUGAUUCGUAUCUGGA